rnacentral:rRNA from 1 species
GAUGAACGCUGGCGGCGUGCCUAAUACAUGCAAGUCGAGCGAACGGACGAGAAGCUUGCUUUUCUGAUGUUAGCGGCGGACGGGUGAGUAACACGUGGAUAACCUACCUAUAAGACUGGGAUAACUUCGGGAAACCGGAGCUAAUACCGGAUAAUAUUUUGAACCGCAUGGUUCAAAAGUGAAAGACGGUCUUGCUGUCACUUAUAGAUGGAUCCGCGCUGCAUUAGCUAGUUGGUAAGGUAACGGCUUACCAAGGCAACGAUGCAUAGCCGACCUGAGAGGGUGAUCGGCCACACUGGAACUGAGACACGGUCCAGACUCCUACAGGAGGCAGCAGUAGGGAAUCUUCCGCAAUGGGCGAAAGCCUGACGGAGCAACGCCGCGUGAGUGAUGAAGGUCUUCGGAUCGUAAAACUCUGUUAUUAGGGAAGAACAUAUGUGUAAGUAACUGUGCACAUCUUGACGGUACCUAAUCAGAAAGCCACGGCUAACUACGUGCCAGCAGCCGCGGUAAUACGUAGGUGGCAAGCGUUAUCCGGAAUUAUUGGGCGUAAAGCGCGCAUAGGCGGUUUUUUAAGUCUGAUGUGAAAGCCCACGGCUCAACCGUGGAGGGUUAUUGGAAACUGGAAAACUUGAGUGCAGAAGAGGAAAGUGGAAUUCCAUGUGUAGCGGUGAAAUGCGCAGAGAUAUGGAGGAACACCAGUGGCGAAGGCGACUUUCUGGUCUGUAACUGACGCUGAUGUGCGAAAGCGUGGGGAUCAAACAGGAUUAGAUACCCUGGUAGUCCACGCCGUAAACGAUGAGUGCUAAAUGUUAGGGGGUUUCCGCCCCUUAGUGCUGCAGCUAACGCAUUAAGCACUCCGCCUGGGGAGUACGACCGCAAGGUUGAAACUCAAAGGAAUUGACGGGGACCCGCACAAGCGGUGGAGCAUGUGGUUUAAUUCGAAGCAACGCGAAGAACCUUACCAAAUCUUGACAUCCUUUGACAACUCUAGAGAUAGAGCCUUCCCCUUCGGGGGACAAAGUGACAGGUGGUGCAUGGUUGUCGUCAGCUCGUGUCGUGAGAUGUUGGGUUAAGUCCCGCAACGAGCGCAACCCUUAAGCUUAGUUGCCAUCAUUAAGUUGGGCACUCUAAGUUGACUGCCGGUGACAAACCGGAGGAAGGUGGGGAUGACGUCAAAUCAUCAUGCCCCUUAUGAUUUGGGCUACACACGUGCUACAAUGGACAAUACAAAGGGCAGCGAAACCGCGAGGUCAAGCAAAUCCCAUAAAGUUGUUCUCAGUUCGGAUUGUAGUCUGCAACUCGACUACAUGAAGCUGGAAUCGCUAGUAAUCGUAGAUCAGCAUGCUACGGUGAAUACGUUCCCGGGUCU